CUAUUCACAGAAAUGCCAUCCUCUGCCUAGGACCAGCUGAACACACAGGGCUAAUAGGCUGCUAACCUUCUCUACUUGUCUGUGGCAGAGAUGAAUGGCUUCCAGAAUGCUUUAAAAAUGCUCUAAGAAUUCUCCAGCAUGACGGACAGUGUACAGAGGGAAGACCAUAUGAAGACACAAUAAGGUGCCCAUCUGCAAGCCAAGGAGAGAGACUGCAGAAGAAACCAAACCUUCUGACAUCUUGAUCUUGGACUUCUAUCUUCCAAAAAU